GGGCCCGCACAAGCGGCGGAGCAUGUUGCUUAAUUCGAGGCAACGCGAAGAACCUUACCUAGGUUGAACUACGCAGGAAAAGCCACAGAGAUGUGGUGUCCUUCGGGGCCUGCGAUAGGUGGUGCAUGGCUGUCGUCAGCUCGUGUCGUGAGAUGUUGGGUUAAGUCCCGCAACGAGCGCAACCCUUAUCCUAUGUUGCCAGCACGUAAUGGUGGGGACUCGUGGGAGACCGCCGGGGUCAACUCGGAGGAAGGUGGGGACGACGUCAAGUCAUCAUGCCCCUUAUGUCUAGGGCUGCAAACAUGCUACAAUGGCUGGUACAAAGGGCUGCGAAACCGUGAGGUCGAGCGAAUCCCAAAAAGCCAGUCUCAGUUCGGAUUGAAGUCUGCAACUCGACUUCAUGAAGCUGGAGUCGCUAGUAAUCCCGGAUCAGCAACGCCGGGGUGAAUACGUUCCCGGGCCUU
rnacentral:rRNA from 1 species